GCAGAAGGCGGCUUGUACUGGAAGGGUGGCAGAAGCACUGCGAGGCAUCCUACGGUAUUAUGAAAUUGAGGAAGUGCAUGAUAUCAACAUGAAACCCACUGUAGCCCUUCGUGCUCUCUCAGUAUACCUGCGGGAAGAGGACACACAGUUUUUCAAGACUUAGAACAGGGAGGAAUCAGAGGAACCAGACAUCAGUGACACUCCUGUUGGUAUUCUUGCGGUGGUCGAUGCAUAUGUGUUACUGUUUGGACUGGUUUAUGCUUUGCAUCUGGACUACCCAAAGAAGCUUGUCAACACUUUCACCUUCAUUCAGAAGGUAGUCAUGGGGUUGGAUGAUGGUGCACCACUCAAACCGUGUUUGCUCAGUCUGAAAAAUGACCUGCUAAUGACAACGGAUUUGCGGAUUUGUCCAGGCACCUGAAUCACAACAGCACAUUGUUACAUUGUUCAUUUUACUGAUUGUUCUAUGCAAGAUGUGCCUUAAACAGGAAGGUUUGUUCUGCUUCAGGGAAAAGGAA